rnacentral:rRNA from 1 species
UACGGAGGGGGCUAGCGUUGUUCGGAAUUACUGGGCGUAAAGCGUACGUAUGCGGCUUUGUAAGUUAGAGGUGAAAGCCCGGGGCUUAACCCCGGAACUGCCUUUGAUACUGCAAAUCUCGAGUCCGGAAGAGGUGAGUGGAAUUCCUAGUGUAGAGGUGAAAUUCGUAGAUAUUAGGAAGAACACCAGUGGCGAAGGCGGCUCACUGGUCCGGUACUGACGCUGAGGUGCGAAAGCGUGGGGAGCAAACAGG